AAGGAUCAUUACCUUUCAAUGCAGCAGAAUUGCGAUGGUUGAGUAUCUCGCCUUUCGAUUCUGCCUGUAUUCUACCCUUGUUUCUCUUACACUAUUAUUUCCUCGGUAGGCUUGCCUACCGGGUGAAACCAUUUAUAACCUAUUUAAUUUUCAAUCAGCGUCUGAAAAAAUUAAUAAUUACAACUUUCAACAACGGAUCUCUUGGUUCUG
rnacentral:misc_RNA from 1 species